rnacentral:lncRNA from 1 species
GUCUCACUGAGUUGUUCAGUGCUUCACCCUUGCUGAGACUGGCUUUGAACUUGGCGAUCCUCCUGCUUCGGCUUCCUGAGCUGCUGGGAUUACAGGCCUGCGCCACCAUGCCCAGCUCAAGUCUCUUCAACCUCUAGAGCCUACCUGUGCUACCUACCUAUCCUAAAACAGUGCAGCUAAAGGCGAUUUCCAGUAUUCUAGUAUAUCCUGCUGUUUUGUUUUUUUAUUUUUCAGCUUUCCCAGAUUAUCUGCAGGAUCUGAAAUUACUGAGCACCUCCUUUCUCUGGAUUGUCUUGCUUUGCCUGGUUUGGGUGAUUCUUUGUGAUCCUGGUUUCUCUGCCUCAUGGAUGGCUUUUCACCCUCUUUCAUUGACUCUUUUUGUCUUACAACCAUGGUACCCUCCAUAGAACCAUCUUAGCAUUUUUGUUUAUCCACCUCUGCAUUUGUUUCAGCAAUACUAUCUAUCUCCAAGACUUCAAUAAUCACAUUUGAGGAUCUCUUUUCCCAAAUCAUCUCCUCCUCCUCCUUCUUUUCUCUCUGCCCCCGCCCCCUGCAGUACUGGAGAUUGAAGCCAGGAGCACUCUACCACUGAGAUCUAUCCCCAGCCCUUUUUCUUUUAUUUUUCAGACAAGAUCUUGCUAAGUUGCCCAGACUGUGCUCAAAAUUGCAAUCCUCCUGCUUCAGCCUCUCCAGUUGUUGGAAAUACAAACUGUGCAUCAAGGUGCCUGGUAAACUCCUCCCAAAUUCUUUGUCCAAUCCCUGUCUUAUUUCCUAGCCCUCUUUUCCAUGAAACUUCCAUCUGAAAACUUCUGGCAUCUUCACUC